AACUAAAUAUAGUACUUUGAAGGCACCAGAUCCUGUCUGACCUCAGAAGCUCAACAGUGUCAGACCUAAUUAGUACUUGGAUAAAGAACUACCAAGGAAUCCUUGGAGCUGUAGGCU
rnacentral:rRNA from 1 species